UACGAAGGGGGCUAGCGUUGCUCGGAAUCACUGGGCGUAAAGGGUGCGUAGGCGGGUCUUUUAAGUCAGGGGUGAAAUCCUGGAGCUCAACUCCAGAACUGCCUUUGAUACUGAAGAUCUUGAGUUCGGGAGAGGUGAGUGGAACUGCGAGUGUAGAGGUGAAAUUCGUAGAUAUUCGCAAGAACACCAGUGGCGAAGGCGACUCACUGGCCGUGUAUGACGC
rnacentral:rRNA from 1 species